rnacentral:rRNA from 1 species
AUUGAACGCUGGCGGCAGGCCUAACACAUGCAAGUCGAACGGUAGCACAGAGGAGCUUGCUCCUUGGGUGACGAGUGGCGGACGGGUGAGUAAUGUCUGGGAAACUGCCCGAUGGAGGGGGAUAACUACUGGAAACGGUAGCUAAUACCGCAUAACGUCGCAAGACCAAAGAGGGGGACCUUCGGGCCUCUUGCCAUCGG